UGAAAUCGGGGUCAAAUUUCCUUUAAAAUGACACCCCAUAUGACAAUUAAGUAUCUUUUUGACCUGUGACCUUGUCCACAAGGUCAUGAGGUCAAACAUAUUAACGUCAUUGAAAUCGGGGUCAAAUUUCCUUUAAAAUGACACCCCAUAUGACAAUUAAGUAUCUUUUUGACCUGUGACCUUGUCCACAAGGUCAUGAGGUCAAAAACAUUAACGUCAUUGAAAUCGCGGUCAAAUUUCCUUUAAAAUGACACCCCAUAUGAAAAUUAACCUGAAUUUAAUUUUGGACCACACCCCCCGGCGCUGUGGGGGGUGGUCCGAUUGACCCCACUUUCGAACUCGGCCGAGAACUAAAAAUUAGAAGCAGAAUGGCGAAAACCGCGUUUGAUUAUCUUGACUCGUUCUGGAGUUAUCCUGCUGACGGACGGACAGACGGACAGACGGACGGACAAAACGAUCACAAUAAGUAGCUGACGCUACUUAAUAAUUCUGAAAAAGCUUAAUUAUUUGAUCCGGCAAUUAAAGCAGUCAUUUGUGAAGUACGUAAGUUUUGUAGCAUAUUUUUUAUAUUACGCUACAUGACUUGAAAAGUAAAUUUGCAAAUAAUGUCAAACUUCGACUAAACAGAGUUAAAGUGCAGAAUUUUAAGCGGAAACUCUUCUUCGUGGAAAACUUGAUUGAUUAUUUACCGAAGUAAUUCACGCAGUAAUUGGUAACUCGUAAAAUCUGUAAAUUUUUGUAUCAUAAUUGUACAAACUUCUGCAGAGAGAAUUUACAAGUUUACAAAAACUUGUAGUCUAAUAUUUGCUUAGAAAUGUUUAUAAAAUCUUGUAGAAGGUGGCAUGGGGCUGUGCAGAGAUUAUGUGAUGGAUUUGAGUGGGAUGGGGGUUAAGGCAUCAUAUCCUUCCCAUCCUAAUUAUAACAUUGGGCGUAUAGGCCCCACCGGGGGGGAAGGGGUUAAAAUUUCCUGAAAAUCGAUCACAUGCUUUAUGCACGACCCCAAAUUUUACACACAAAGUUUAUGGAUUUUACAAUGUUAUCAACUCCUGCGUGCAAUGUGUCGGUAUUUUAUUUAUUUAUUUUGUCCACUUAAUUUAAUUGACGACUUUUGUAACACUGCUUUCUUCACGAAGUAAAAAAAUUAUCCGAAAAGGUAAAUCAUGGCAAGUUUUUCGUCCACUGGGAGUGAAAUGAGGGGAGGAAAACGACCGCUUGAGGAGUCAAUCACGGAUAAAUUUUUUCGCGAAGUUUGCAUCGAGGCACGUGAACAUUUUGAAAACGAGACCGAGUCAUCCGUUCAGAAAAAGACGGGAACUAAGCACAUCAUUUACUAUCAGCCAUUCGUCAAUUUUGACUUGGUAAUAAAAAACAUUCCAACCGGUAUUCCGACUUCCUUGCUGAACGAUGUACCCGACACGACUCAACCCAUGGCAACGACUGACGCGCUGCAAAAUCCUCAGAGUCACUUCUUUUUCGAAAUUCGAAUCAAUCCAGUCGAUUGGGCUAGAGCAUUUAAUCAACUCGACUUUCUCCCAACCGUAAAAUUCCUCUACGUCGCCAUGCUAACGGAACACUGUCGAAGUGUCAUCGAUGUUGACCCAACAGCAAAAGGAAAUAUUCACGACUUGAUUAGAAGAGCUGCAUUUAGGAUGGAUGAUGGCGAAAUUUGGGGAAGACAGCCACAUCGAUCCGUGGGCUUUUCCACUCGAGUAUAGCAAAAUUAUGGAGAUCAUCCCCGAACCGGACGAGUCCACGGGUGCAAUGGAGAUCGACAAGAUCAUGGCCCAUCUCAAUCCUGACGAGUGUGUGCGACCCGUGGUGCAGCAAAUACUGAAAACGCCAAUUAAUCGCGCAACUGAUUAUUGGAAUUCGAACAGCUCCACAGCCGCCCGGGCCAAACUAGAAAAAAAGAAACAAGAAGACAAGAAAUUUGACGACUGGUUCCGUCAAUGUGUUGAAUACGUGCCGAAAAACAGCGAAGUUCCGAUGAACGCGGCACAAAUAGUAGCGGCCGCUACGAGGAGCACGUUAUCCAGUAACAACGACCAAAUUGUGGAUGGAGUACAAUUUAGCGUGGAGAACGAAAGAGGUGUAACUGCCAGGUGGGGAGAGGCAUUCAAGGAGGGACAAGGAUUAGAUUAUCCGGGGAAAAUAGGCAAAAUAGCUGCUCGACUCUGCAGCCCGAUAUUACGAUUGGAUUUUGAAAAAACUUGGAUGGUUUUAGCACAAUGGAGGAUAUUCAUCCUCCAAAGCUACUUGCCAUUUAUCGUGGGGCUAAAUUCUUGUACGAAAGAAGACUCAAAAUUAACGGAGAUAAAGAGAUAUUCGACUCAGCAACCGAAUCCCACAACGUGUUCCCAACGAAGGAAGAAUGUCGCAUAAUAAAUGACGAGCUUGAGCUUUACGGUGUCAACAAUGUGCUAGGGAGGCUGAGGCUGAAAGAGAAGAAAUCUUCAAAAUGCCGUGAAAUAUCAGAAGUUUCAGAUCUAAGUAUCAGAAGUAAUCCGGCUGAUUUGACCAUGAGCAUGGAAACUAUCGUAUCCGGUUACGUAGAAAAUCCAAACAUUAUUACCUUAAAUUAUGCAAAUAAUGCUGCAAAUAAUUCGCACGAGGUAGUUCCGGUAGCGGCAAGCUCAAGCAGUGUUCCGAUUGAUGUUACGUUCCCUACAGAACUGGAACCAGUAGUGGGAUUACCCAAUGGUGAAAAUCAAGUUAUCUACUAUCAACCGGAUUAAGGGAUUACUCCUUCAAACCUGCACCUUUGCAUUCCCUCAUCUUCGCAGAUUGUUCACUUCGGAAAUCCUGAGCUUUUUUCCAAAGUAGAGAUACCGUUUGCUGCAUUCGAAUUGAGGAAAGGUGAUAUGCGAGGGAUUGAACCGAAAUUGUUGCUUGCUGGGUGCACUGAGGCGGUUGUGGUUGUGCUGACUGUCCGGAUAGAGAAGAAGGGGUUGGAUGGGGCCUACCGGGUAGCUAAAUCGAGGUCACACGCCUACUCUAAGGCAAGUUGGGCCAAAGCUGUGCAAAUGUAUGGGACAUCCGGCCCGGUUGAAAUGUGCAUAACUUUUUUGCUGAAACAAUUAUUUCACAAGGACGAAUUGAGAGAUUUAACUCCUUCGGGACGAGAACAGAAAGAACCGGAAGAGGAAAAAACUGAUGAAAACGGAACAAAGAAAAACGCGGAUCGGAGUACAUCUAAAAAGAAAAAGACGAACCGCAGUGGAUCAAAAAAAAGAUCCAACGGAAAGAAUGAAGACAACGAUGAGCAGGGGGAAGGGACGUCCGUACCAAAAAAAAUCACUGGAUAAAGGCAGACAGGAGCCUUUACUUGAUACGAUUCGGUACUUGAUGUGGGAAAUUGGGCUGCCGCAAUUCGAGAUUUAUCACCUAAUGGAGAAAGCAUUGACAACUGAUAUUAUCAACGUGGGCACUAAAGUCAUUCGAAAACGGUUGAAGAAGGAUAAGGCGUACUAUGACGCAUUCAACUGGGAAUAAAUUUCGACCAGUUUAUAAACAGAUUGUUGAGCUUUUGCGACUGGGAGGUUUCAGUGCGGAACAAUUACUUGGAAAUAGUAAUUACCUAUAUACUUCGUAAAGCAAUACUUUAAAUUCAAAUUUGGUGCCCAGGGGUUAUAUUUAAUUAAAUUAUUAUCCAGCUAAAUACGUAUUUUGUACACAACUGGUCUACAUACAUACAUAUGUAUGUCAUCGUUUAUUAUUCAUCGACAAAUCUUUCCAAGGAAUGCAUAUAUAUGUACACUCAAAAUCAUUAAUAAAACUUUGCGUUAUUACUUGAA